UCACGCAUUUGGUGUACGUGUUUGGCUGAGGAGCCAAUGGUGCGAGGCUACCAUCUGUGGGAUUAUGACUGAACGCCUCUAAGUCAGAAUCCCGCCUAGACGUGAUGAGACAUAGCGCCGCGGAACUUCAGUUG